GAUGAACGCUAGCGGCAGGCCUAACACAUGCAAGUCGAGGGGCAGCACAGAAACAGCAAUGUUUUGGUGGCGACCGGCGGACGGGUGCGUAACGCGUAUGCAACCUACCUUUAACAGGGGGAUAACGGAGAGAAAUUUCCACUAAUACCCCAUAACAUCGAUCAAGGCAUCUUGAUUGGUUGAAAACUCCGGUGGUUAAAGAUGGGCAUGCGUUGUAUUAGGGAGUUUGUGAGGUAAUGGCUCACCAAGCCUACGAUAAAUAGGGGGACUGGGAGGUUGGCCCCCAAUCCUGGUACUGAGACACGGACCAGACUCCAACGGGAGGCAGAAGUGAAGAAUAUUGGUCAAUGGGGGCAACCCUGAACCAGCCAUGCCGCGUGCAGGAAGACGGCUCUAUGAGUUGUAAACUGCUUUUAAACAGGGAUAAAGCACAGUAUGUAUACUGUGUUGAAGGUACUGUAAGAAUAAGGAUCGGCUAACUCCGUGCCAGCCGCCGCCGUAA
rnacentral:rRNA from 1 species